rnacentral:ncRNA from 1 species
GUGAAGCAAGGAAUAGAUGAAAAGGGAAUCGGGUGAAAGUCCCGGACAGUCCACGCUGCUGUAAGUCUUUAUAGGAUUCGAAGUAACCUCUGUUCCACUGAAUAGUCGUCUAUUCGGGAAGGAACUUCGAACGAGACAAAGUCAGAAGACCUGCCUGGUUACUG